UAGAGGCGAUGAAGGACGUGUAAGUCUGCGAUAAGCUGUGGAGAGCCGACAAAAUGCUUUGACCCACAGAUUUCCGAAUGGGGAAACCCACCGCUUCGGCGGUAUCUUAUAGUGAAUACAUAGCUAUAAGAAGCGAACGAGGGGAACUGAAACAUCUAAGUACCCUUAGGAAUAGAAAUCAACAGAGAUUCCCCUAGUAGCGGCGAGC
rnacentral:rRNA from 11 species